CUUUUAACACCAACUCUUAUCACAAAAUUGCAAACCCAUUCAAAGUACGUUCUCCUUCCUCUACGCUGUGUCCAUACCAUUAGCUUAUUGCUAUUAGCUUUUUCUUUUAGGAAUUUCAAACAAAAUAUAGAAAAGAAAAUUUCAGGAAAAUGUUAAUAUACGAUCCAUUUUGUAGCAGCAACAUAAAAUCAAUAUUGCAUAUUAGAUGUAUGAAAGUUCUAGGAUUUUUUUUGUUGGGUCUUGCUCUGCAAAAUCUAAUUGAUUUUGAUAUUGAUGUGCUUUUCUUGUUGGGUUCUCUUUGAACAGCGGACACACCAACACUUUACGAUGUGAAUCGCAGUGAGUUUGUUCGAGUUCGUCGAUUGAGGUCGCUUACCAGUAGAUUUGAUAUUUAGCUCAGUUGAUUGCGUCUGCUUCUCUCCAGGUGUUGAAAAUGAAGAAAGGGAAGACGCAAGCAGUGAAGACCUUACUCAAGAAGAUAUUUCACUUGAGAAGAUUUUUGGAUUUUUGCUGAAGCUUUAGAUGUUCUAGGAAUAUUUUGCUAUUGACAUUUUGGAACUUAUGCACACUCUUUAAAUGUAAAACUUUUAUGUAUUUGAGUUUUAACAUUUUGCUUUUAUGGAUAUCAUAACUAGCUUGUGGACAAUAUGGAUUAUGAAAAGUUUCA